GGGGGUGACUGGUUUCGACAGGGUGGGUCUGAGAUGGGCAGCAGGCCGUGGUCUCCUCGCCACGUUAAACAGGGGUACCGUCAAAUUGAAUUGACGACGAUUACUCUUUUGAGGGCCUUGCCCUCGCUGCUUAAUUAAAUAGCAGCCGCCGAAGCGGGGAUCGCUCCCGUUCCCGUGGACGCGUCAUAUCAGGGAGAUGCUCCGAUGGACGUCGUUGGUAUGCCUGAGGAUAAGAUCGAACCAGCUAGGACGCUGAGUGCGGGUCGCCAGGUGCGAUGCGUCCGAAAUCCAAUUGGCGACUGAGCCUGGAGACACCUGUCAGGGAUUUGCUUUGGACCGGAGUUCGAUUCUCCGCACCUCCACCA
rnacentral:tmRNA from 1 species